rnacentral:rRNA from 1 species
UACGAAGGGUGCAAGCGUUACUCGGAAUUAUUGGGCGUAAAGCGCGUGUAGGCGGCAUUGCAAGUCGGGUGUGAAAGCCCUCGGCUCAACCGAGGAAGUGCGCCCGAAACUGCAAGGCUCGAGUCCGGGAGAGGGGGGUGGAAUUCCCAGUGUAGCGGUGAAAUGCGUAGAUAUUGGGAGGAACACCGGUGGCGAAGGCGGCCCCCUGGACCGGUACUGACGCUGAGGCGCGAAAGCGUGGGUAGCAAACGGG